rnacentral:tRNA from 1 species
UCCCUGGAAGAGUAGUGGUUAGGCCACAUCGCUCUCACCACUGUAGCACAGGUUCAAUUCCUGGCCAGGUAG